rnacentral:rRNA from 1 species
GAUGAACGCUGGCGGCAUGCCUAAUACAUGCAAGUCGAACGAGAGGAAGGAAAGCUUGCUUUUCUGAAUCUAGUGGCGAACGGGUGAGUAACACGUAGGUAACCUGCCCAUGUGCCCGGGAUAACUUCUGGAAACGGAUGCUAAAACCGGAUAGGUAGCAGACAAGCAUUUGACUGCUAUUAAAGUGGCUAAGGCCAUGAACAUGGAUGGACCUGCGGUGCAUUAGCUAGUUGGUGAGGUAACGGCCCACCAAGGCGACGACGCAUAGCCGGCCUGAGAGGGCGGACGGCCACAUUGGGACUGAGACACGGCCCAAACUCCUACGGGAGGCAGCAGUAGGGAAUUUUCGUCAAUGGGGGGAACCCUGAACGAGCAAUGCCGCGUGAGUGAGGAAGGUCUUCGGAUCGUAAGGCUCUGUUGUAAGAGAAAAACGACAUUCAUAGGGAAUGAUGAGUGAGUGAUGGUAUCUUACCAGAAAGUCACGGCUAACUACGUGCCAGCAGCCGCGGUAA